rnacentral:rRNA from 1 species
GCCCCAGACUCCUACGGGAGGCAGCAGUGGGGGAUAUUGCACAAUGGGGGAAACCCUGAUGCAGCGACGCCGCGUGUGGGAAGACGGUCCUCUGGAUUGUAAACCCCUGUCCCCAGGGACGAAGAUGACGGUACCUGGGGAGGAAGCUCCGGCUAACUACGUGCCAGCAGCCGCGGUAAUACGUAGGGGGCAAGCGUUAUCCGGAUUUACUGGGUGUAAAGGGAGCGUAGACGGCAGAGCAAGUCUGAAGUGAAAGCCCGCGGCCCAACUGCGGGACUGCUUUGGAAACUGCCCGGCUAGAGUGCUGGAGAGGUAAGCGGAAUUCCUAGUGUAGCGGUGAAAUGCGUAGAUAUUAGGAGGAACACCAGUGGCGAAGGCGACUUUCUGGACUGUACCUGACGCUGAGGCGCGAAAGCGUGGGUAGCGAACGGGAUUAGAUACCCUAGUA